GACGAACCGUGCAAACGUUGUUCGGAAUCACUGGGCUUAAAGGGCGCGUAGGCGGGCCAGCCAGUCUGUGGUGAAAGCCUCCAGCUUAGCUGGAGAAGUGCCGUGGAUACUGCUGGCCUCGAGGAGGAUAGGGGCAUCUGGAACGGUCGGUGGAGCGGUGAAAUGCGUUGAUAUCGACCGGAACUCGGUGGCGAAGGCGAGGUGCCUGGGUCCUUCUGACGCUGAGGCACG
rnacentral:rRNA from 1 species